GACGAACGCUGGCGGCGUGCUUAACACAUGCAAGUCGAACGAUGAAGCUGGAGCUUGCUCCGGUGGAUUAGUGGCGAACGGGUGAGUAACACGUGAGCAAUCUGCCCUUGACUCUGGGAUAACUGCGGGAAACUGUAGCUAAUACCGGAUAUGAGAUCUGAAGGCAUCUUCGGGUUUGGAAAGAAUUUCGGUCAAGGAUGAGCUCGCGGCCUAUCAGCUAGUUGGUGAGGUGAUGGCUCACCAAGGCGACGACGGGUAGCCGGCCUGCGAGGGUGACCGGCCACAGUGGAACUGAGACACGGUCCAGACUCGUACGGGAGGGAGCAGUGGGGAAUAUUGCACAAUGGGCGAAAGCCUGAGUCAGCAACGCCGCGUGAGGGAUGAAGGCCUUCGGGUUGUAAACCUCUUUUAGCAGGGAAGAAGCGAAAGUGACAGUACCUGCAGAAAAAGCACCGGCUAACUACGUGCCAGCCGCCGCGGUAA
rnacentral:rRNA from 1 species